UUUUGGACAAUGGGCGCAAGCCUGAUCCAGCCAUUCCGCGUGAGUGAAGAAGGCCUUCGGGUUGUAAAGCUCUUUCGCAAGGGAACAAAACUUACUUUCUAAUAAAGAGUGAGGUUGACGGUACCUUGAUAAGAAGCACCGGCUAACUACGUGCCAGCAGCCGCGGUAAUACGUAGGGUGCGAGCGUUAAUCGGAAUUACUGGGCGUAAAGCGUGCGCAGGCGGCUUUGUAAGUCAGAUGUGAAAUCCCCGAGCUCAACUUGGGAACUGCGUUUGAAACUACAAGGCUAGAAUAUGUCAGAGGGGGGUAGAAUUCCACGUGUAGCAGUGAAAUGCGUAGAGAUGUGGAGGAAUACCAAUGGCGAAGGCAGCCCCCUGGGAUAAUAUUGACGCUCAUGCACGAA
rnacentral:rRNA from 1 species